UGUUCAAGUAUGAUUUACUGAUUUUAGCAUGAUUUAGCAUAGUUUACCAUGAUUUACCACGAUUUACCGUAGUUUACCAUGAUUUACUAUAGUAUACCACAAUUUACCAUGUUCAAGUAUGAUUUAUUGAUUCUAGCAUGAUUUACCAUAGUUUACCAUGAUUUACUACAGUAUACCACGAUUUGCCAUGUUCAAGUAUAAUUUACUGAUUCUAGCAUGAUUUACCAUAGUUUACCUUUAUUUACCACGAUUUACCAUAGUUAACCAUGAUUUACUAUAGUAUACCACGAUUUACCAUGUUCAAGUAUGAUUUACUGAUUCUAGCAUGAUUUAGCAUAGUUUACCAUGAUUUACCACGAUUUACCGUAGUUUACCAUGAUUUACUAUAGUAUACCACGAUUUAUCAUAUUAUGAUUUAUUGAUUCUAGCAUGAUUUACCAUAGUUUACCAUGAUUUACCACGAUUUACCAUGAUUUACUAUAGUAUACCACGAUUUACCAUAGUUUACCAUGAUUUACCAUAGUUUACCACGAUUUACCAUAGUAUACCACGAUUUACCAUGUUCAACAUGAUUUACCAUGAUUUACUAUAGUAUACCACGAUUUACCAUAGUUUACCAUGAUUUACCAUAGUUUAAUACAAUUUACCAUAGUUUACCAUGAUUUACCAUAGUAUACCACGAUUUACCAUGUUCAAGUAUGAUUUACUGAUUCUAGCCUGAUUUAGCAUAGUUUACCAUGAUUUACCACGAUUUACCAUAGUAUACCACGAUUUGCCAUGUUCAAGUAUAAUUUACUGAUUCUAGCAUGAUUUACCAUAGUUUACCACGAUUUACCAUAGUUUACCAUGAUUUACCAUAGUUUACCAUUAUUUACCACGAUUUACCAUAGUUUACCAUGAUUUACUAUAGUAUACCACGAUUUACCAUGUUCAAGUAUGAUAUACUGAUUCUAGCAUGAUUUACCAUAGUUUACCAUGAUUUACCAUAGUUUACCAUGAUUUACUAUAGUAUACCAUGAUUUGCCAUGUUCAAGUAUAAUUUACUGAUUCUAGCAUGAUUUCCCAUAGUUUAGCAUGAUUUACCAUAGUUUACCAUAAUUUACCAUGAUUUACCAUAGUUUACCAUUAUUUACCAUGAUUUACCAUAGUUUACCAUGAUUUACUAUAGAAUACCACGAUUUACCAUGUUCAAGUAUGAUUUACUGAUUCUAUCAUGGUUUAUCAUAGUUUACCAUGAUUUACCACGAUUUACCAUAGUUUACCAUGAUUUACUAUAGUAUACCACGAUUUACCAUGUUCAAGUAUGAUUUAUUGAUUCUAGCAUGAUUUACCAGUUUACCAUGAUAUACCACAAUUUGCCAAAGUUAACCAUGAUUUACUAUAGUUUACCAUAGUUUACCAUGAUUUACCAUAGUUUACCACGAUUUACCAUUGUUUACCAUGAUUUACCAUAGUUUACCAUGAUUUACCAUGUUUAUCCUGGCCUUAGUCAUAUUAUAGUUUAUUUUGUCAAUACUGACUCCCUGUGGACAUUUUAAGUAGCACGUUUCCUAUAAAAAUACAGCAGCCAUUUUAGGAUGUUAGAACUCAUGGCAGCAGAGUGUGAAGGUGUAUCCACGUCCUUCCUUCCUUGUUUUGCUCUUGAAAACAGCACAAUCUUUUCACAAAUUGGGCUUCAGUAAACAAAGUUUGACCCUGAAAACUGUCUACGACUUUUACUAAGGCUUUGUUUAGCUCGCUGCAAAAGCAAACUUAAGCUGAAGGCAGAAGAAUGUUCAAAGACGGCGAGCUUGAACGGGGGAGUUCUUUGGCCUGAGUGAGCAGGAGUAAAAAUACAAACUUUUCUUCUGCUAACACCAGAAAAAGAAGAAAGAAAAAAAACUAAAACCAUGGCUAACUACGCUACCAACAAAGGUCCAGUGAUUUGGAUCAUCGGGAGUAGCUACAUUCUUCGUGGGGAAGAGAGGGCCAGAGAGACCAUCGGGGCCAAUCUUGGCCUAGUGGCCAAGGUUUACUGGUUUGGCUGGGGUGGACUUCGAUGGCACGGACUCCUUCCUUUCUUCUACUGGUCCCUCAGAGGAAGAGCAGCCCCGGAUGUCCUGCUGAUUCACUGCGGCGGGAACGACUUGGGAUGCAGGAAGAGCAUCGAUCUCGUCGCAGAUCGGCAACAUCUCUAUCGGUGUUUCCCUCAGAUGACCAUUGUGCUGUCUCACAUCACCCAGAGACGUCGGUGGAGAUCGGGUCUUCCGGGGAAAAUUGACAAGUCCCGUAAAUGGGUGAACAGUGUCAUGGCUAACUUUGUCUUGGGAAUGCAGGGGGGUAUCAUGCAUCACCCUCAAAUUGUAUUUAACAAGCCUCAACUGUUUCUAAGGGACGGAGUUCAUUUAUCACCUAGGGGUAAUGAUAUUUUUUAAAAUAAUUUAGCUGAAGGCUUGAGAGUCUUAAUCCAGUAGGGGUGAUGCUGGAUUGAAACUCUCAGGAUGUUUUUAACUUGAAACAGUUGAAGAUUGUUAAAUUGUUUUGGGCUUGUGUAUCUGCCUUUUUUCUUUAGUUUAAUACAUGUUCACAUUGGUAGACAUAACACUGUUCAAUAGUCACUGCUCUUUCUCCCCUCCGUGGCAUUCAUGUAUCACCCUAGCCAUCCACCCCAUGGCCUCUCACUUUUCUUCCCCACGACGAAUGUAGCUAGAGAGGGGAUCAGGAUUAAAAAAAAAAAAAAAAAAAAAGUAUUACUUUUUUAAAAUUGUUUUUGUUUCAAUAAAUAAAUAUUUAUUAACAAAACACACAGUAGACACUUCAAGUAGACAUACUUUGACAGAAAUGUCAUGUGGUUUUAUUACUUAUGGUUUAGAACUUCGUAAUUAUACAUAUUCAGUCAGUAGCCUUCACAG